GAAAUGCGAUAAGUAAUGUGAAUUGCAGAAUUCAGUGAAUCAUCGAAUCUUUGAGACUUGGUUUGACUUGGCGUAAUAAGUAUUUCGCUAAGGACAUUCUUCGGAGUGGCCUCGUUUCUAGGACGCUUGUCCGCUUUCCAAUACAAGUUCCACCUCGUGGACAUGACUUUUUAUUAUCUGGCCUCAAAUCAGGUAGGACUACCCGCUGAACUUAA
rnacentral:misc_RNA from 1 species